UGGGGAAUAUUGCACAAUGGGCGCAAGCCUGAUGCAGCAACGCCGCGUGAGGGACGACGGCCUUCGGGUUGUAAACCUCUUUUAGUAGGGAAGAAGCGAAAGUGACGGUACCUGCAGAAAAAGCACCGGCUAACUACGUGCCAGCAGCCGCGGUAAUACGUAGGGUGCGAGCGUUGUCCGGAAUUAUUGGGCGUAAAGAGCUCGUAGGCGGUCUGUCGCGUCUGCUGUGAAAACCCGAGGCUCAACCUCGGGCCUGCAGUGGGUACGGGCAGACUAGAGUGCGGUAGGGGAGAAUGGAAUUCCUGGUGUAGCGGUGGAAUGCGCAGAUAUCAGGAGGAACACCGAUGGCGAAGGCAGUUCUCUGGGCCGUAACUGACGCUGAGGAGCGAAAGCGUGGGGAGCGAACAGGAUUAGAUACCCUGGUAGUCCACGCCGUAAACGCUGGGCGCUAGAUGUGGGGACCAUUCCACGGUUUCCGUGUCGCAGCUAACGCAUU
rnacentral:rRNA from 1 species